GACGAACGCUGGCGGCGUGCUUAACACAUGCAAGUCGAACGAUGAAGCCUAGCUUGCUAGGUGGAUUAGUGGCGAACGGGUGAGUAAUACGUGAGUAACCUACCUUUAACUCUGGGAUAAGCCUGGGAAACUGGGUCUAAUACCGGAUACGACCAAUCUCCGCAUGGGGUGUUGGUGGAAAGCGUUAUGUAGUGGUUAUAGAUGGGCUCACGGCCUAUCAGCUUGUUGGUGAGGUAACGGCUCACCAAGGCGACGACGGGUAGCCGGCCUGAGAGGGUGACCGGCCACACUGGGACUGAGACACGGCCCAGACUCCUACGGGAGGCAGCAGUGGGGAAUAUUGCACAAUGGGCGCAAGCCUGAUGCAGCGACGCCGCGUGAGGGAUGACGGCCUUCGGGUUGUAAACCUCUGUUAGCAGGGAAGAAGAGAAAUUGACGGGACCUGCAGAGAAAGCGCCGGCGAACUACGU
rnacentral:rRNA from 1 species